AAAAAAAGUGGCAUUAAAGAUCAGAAGAACUUGAGAAGUACACUAAAUGGUUCAAUAAAACAAAGAAAUGAGGAAAUGUAUUCAGCCAUUCCAGUAAGACUCAGUAAGAAACUUUCCCCUGCCUUGGCCAAAGCUAGUAGUAGGUACUAGAAAUCUAAAUAAGAUGAAAAAACCAAAUAAAUGGAUCAACAGGCGACAUCAACAGACUACUCCACCUCCACACUCAAACCAAAAAGGUAGAACACAUUGGUAUUUCAGUUAUUUUACCAAAAAAUAAACUGCUCAGAUAAAUAGUUGGUAAAACCACUCAUUAACUGUUCAAACUCAUUUUCUGUAAAAAUGCAAGUUUUUGCAAGGAGGAAAAGAAUUGAACUAGACAGCACAUUAGUUAUAUAGCUCCGUUCAUGCAAGUAUGCAACUUCUAUAUCUGUGAUAACUACUUCUAAAUUCUACUUAUGAUUUUCAAGAAUCGCGAAGAAAUCUUCUUCACAGUAAGACAACAGCAGCAGAUGGAGAAAUGCACGACUUCUCCUGAAUCCCAUUACUCUGUGACAUUCAUGCAAAAGCUGUUUUGGGAGUUUGUGGAAGGCUUAAGGAGUGGAAUAGCUUCUAAUGCUUGAGGAAAUGCAACUAGAAGGCCAAAAGUUGAAGAAAAAGAACUAAAAAGAGCAAAGAGAAAAUUUGUGUGGAACAUUUGCUUCACCCACAUAGGCGGCCUCAUCCAGUAGCCAAGGAAGCCAUGAAGGAGAGCUUCUGGAAUCGCCCAUGUGAGCUAUGUAGCGCACCCACAUAACUGGACAUGAAGGGGUGUUUUUGGCAUAUUUGUGCACGACUUCCAAUAGAUUUUUAGGGUACUUUCGCAGGGAACCUUGUACUGCUGGAUCUUAGGGAAGAAACCAUAGCUACUUUUGCAAGGUUUUGAAGAAUUUCAUCAUAGAGUAUCUUUCCUAAGUACUUUUUAAUUAUGGCUUCCUUUUCUUUUCAUCUUGUAUUUUUCAUUUAUAGUAUGAGUAGCUAAACCCAUUAGCUGGGGUUGUAGACUCUUAUGGCGUUAAUAUGAAUGGGUGUUAGUUUA